rnacentral:lncRNA from 1 species
UUCUUUUGUCUCAUAUCUAGAAGACAGGCUUUGAUUCUCCUGAAUAAAUCUAAGAUCUUGUUCAUACCCUUUAAUAAACCCCAACACUUCCUGUAGAGAUAGCUUUACCCCUUCAUGUGUCAGUUUAUUUCUUCGAUACCAUAGACUCCAUAUGGAAAGCACAAUGAAAUGUUUUUGUUGUUCUUCUAUUGCAGAAAAAGUUUUAACAAAACGUUCCUUGCAACACAUCAAGUCUCCAAAAGACGGAAUAGUGAUUUUUAAAGAUGCCCAUACACACUAUAGAGUACCACAACACUCAGAAUUCUUCGCGCCAGAUUGCAAAAAUGAGGCAAAAAAUUGUUAAAUAGCCUCCAAAUAUGUAUUUUAAUUUUUUUGGAAUGCGUAAGGCCCACAAAGACUUGU